rnacentral:rRNA from 1 species
CCUACGGGAGGCAGCAGUAGGGAAUCUUCCACAAUGGGCGAAAGCCUGAUGGAGCAACGCCGCGUGAGCGAUGAAGGCCUUCGGGUUGUAAAACUCUGUCAUUCGGGACGAACCGGAGUCUGAGGAAAUGCAGACUCUCUGACGGUACCGGAGGAGGAAGCCCCGGCUAACUACGUGCCAGCAGCCGCGGUAAUACGUAGGGGGCAAGCGUUGUCCGGAUUCACUGGGCGUAAAGCGCGCGCAGGCGGUGAUGUAAGUCUGAGGUGAAAACCCGAAGCUCAACUUCGGGACUGCCUUGGAUACUGCGUCACUUGAGGAUAGGAGAGGCAAGGGGAAUUCCACGUGUAGCGGUGAAAUGCGUAGAGAUGUGGAGGAACACCUGUGGCGAAGGCGCCUUGCUGGCCUAUUUCUGACGCUGAGGCGCGAAAGCGUGGGGAGCAAACAGGAUUAGAUACCCUGGUAGUCCACGCUGUAAACGAUGAGUGCUAGGUGUAGGUGGGCUCAUACCCAUCUGUGCCGAAGCUAACGCAUUAAGCACUCCGCCCUGGGGNGUACGGUCGCGAGACGAGAACGUACGAAAGAAGUUAGACGGCGUUGAGACGNGCCGACGGACGACGACGAGGGAGGUUAGG